ensembl:lncRNA
AUUGUGAAUAACAUGGGUUUAUGAGAUUUACAAAUCACUGCAUUCUUUUUAUUUACAUUUUACAGGGUGUCCCAACAUUUUUGGAAUUGGGGUUGUAAAACAUCAGAGCGCUUCAUGAGUGAGGUGUAACUUUGUGAUUUUUGUAAUCUAAGUAGGGUUUUGUUUGUUUGUUUGUUUGUUUGUUUGUUUGUUUGUUUUAACAGUUUCCAGUUUUUAAAAUCUGUCUUUUUGUGAGUGUGGAAGUGGCAGUGCUGGUUUGAUUAGCAGGUAUACUGAGCAGGGGGUUAGGGAUUUACUCCCCUUUCCAAAACCUUGGUUACACUGCAGAAUUAGCUGCUGAAAGAAUGCACACGGAUGGAACGGCUGUGCGUCCUGGGGGCCGGAGCUUAAGCACAGGCCGAGUGGCAGGAUUACGGAGGAAAUGAGAGGACAGAGCAGGGGACCUAAAGUCAGGAGGGCACGACGGCUCCAGACGUCUCCUGUAGCUUUGAAGCCAGUGCAAUCAGUUUAAAGAACAAAAGCAACAGUUGCUGUAGAAGCACUUGAGUCUCAAAAUGCUAAAGACAUGGGUGAAAGGUUCUGGCCCCACUGGAUUCCCAGCACUCCAGAUCUGUAACAGGAGGUCUGACUGAGAAAGAAUGGCAGGGAGCUGUGAAAGGAAAACGUGGCUCAGAAAGGUCUUGUCGGCACUUCCUCCAGCAAAUUAGCAGCUCUCUGAGGGUACAAGUACAACUUCAUUGACCUGGCCAAUUCUGGAAAAUGUCCCACGCUGUCCUCCCCCAUGGCAGCCCUUCACUGUUCUUCUGACAACAAACCCCAGUUACUUCACCAAUUAAGGAGAGAAAUCGCCAUGAAAGCCUGGUGCUGUGAGGUUAUGCACGGCAGUAACAGAGGAAUUUCUUCAUGCAGUAGGAAUCUGUUCUCAGGAUAGACCUUUGGCCUGGAGAUGAGGAAGGCAGCAUUCACUUCAGAAGUGUGAAAUUUGUGCAUCUCUGGAGUACAGAGGGUGCAAUGGACUGUGAAUAGCAAGACAAGACAGCUCCCUGGAGCGAGAGGCUGGAGUGAGGGCCUUACAGCUGUUUUCUGGAGAUAAUUGAUUUUGGAAUAGACCAGAGAUGAGAGCGGACAGGCGGGGCUGAUGGCGCACUGCAGCGGGGUCCAAGCCAAUUUCCGCAGGCCUUGUCCCUUUAAUUACUGUGGUGCUAGAGCAUGGGAUGCGCCCACUCUCCCAUCCAGGUAAAUUAAAGCCCUUUGCUCAACCAACCCUGCUGCAUCCCCCAUCACCCAGUGGCCUGAUGAAUUUUUCAUGGAUUGGCCUCUCUCCUUCGCUGGCCUGCCGCUGUGGCUGGAGGCAGUGCUUCUGGUGCCUUUUCCCGUGCCCUCUUAGAGAUUCCCAGCUGACAGCUUAUGAGAAAAGGUUGCAUAUGCAUAGCUAGAUUGUGCUGUUGAUUAGUUUUCUUGAUCUGUUUGGAUUCUCACGACCUAAAGGAGCCAUAAUGGCCUACAGAUCUGUCAUAGACAUGAGAGCAGCUGCAUGCCCAGGUACCUUUUAUGUUUUUUGCUUUGCUUAUUUCCUUACUAGGCUCUCGAGGCUAACAAGGAUGUAGUUUAACUGGACAAACUGCUUGUUAUGUACUCUUUGGACCCCUUAUUAACCCUAACCUCUCAUCCCUUAGGUGUACCCAUCAUGCCUCCCCUUGACUCAGUGCACAAUAGGAGCAGAACAGUGCAUCUUAUGGAAAGUGACACAUGGUGUUGUGUUCUGCAGGGUUAAUCCCCCCAUGGGGGAAGAUGACAGGAUCUCUGUGGCCCUGAAUAUGUAUCAAACUGCCACAAGUCACAUUCCAACCCAGCUUCAAUCAGAAGCUUUUAUCAGGAGUCCUGCCUGCAGAGCUGUUAGGCCCUCCAUUAUAAUAUUAUAAUAGUCUAUUAAUGCUGUUACAACACUAGCUGUAUCUAAGGCAUUGUUUGCAUCCCAAGAAUGUCAGUACUUGUUUGUCUUGACAUACAUUCUGUUUGUGUUGAUUUGACCUUCUGCAGCAGUGACUUGAAGUGAGUCAAAACUACAGAUUCAGGGACAAUAGAGCUGACAAAUCUGAUAGGUAUCGAACAUGAAAUAAGCAUGGAAAUGCAAUGAGACAUUGAUUGAUAGGCUUUUGUAUAAAUCAUUGGGUUGCUUUUCAUAUUUAAUUUGUUAACAUACUAUAUUCCAUAUAGAUGAAUGUAUGAAAAUCCACCCACGCUGUAUUUAUUGUGAGCCCAUGGUGUUCUCUGCCUGGUUUACUCACUGAGAAAUGGUAGAUUUCUAUAUACACUUGAGUGCAGCAGUUUGCAUCCCCUGUGGCUUUUGGAUGAAAAGGAUAUGUCCCUGGAUUUUAAAUAUACCUUCAAUAAAACAGAUGAAAAAUGAAGUGUGGGCAUAUCCUCUGCUAAUCCAAAACAUAAGGCAAAAUCAUUACAAGUGUUUGGAAACAGUGAUGAGAGAAAAUGGUGCAUAUGCAAGAUAAAGAAAAUAUUUACAGUAUAUCACAAUCAGUUGGGGUGAUGUGAAUUAAUUGUUUUGGUAUUAAUAUUGAAACAUACACUAAUUGACCUUGCAAUAAUAAAUGCAGAUCUGUGAAACCCUACCUGGUAUAAAUUAAAUUCCUUUGUCUUCCUCAUUCUGUAUGCAUCAACUAUGCAAACCUUUGCACUCAACUGCACACCAUAAUUUUAAUCACACUUAAUGAGGAUGUUGUCAAGUUCAGGACUAAUGACCUUUAUGGGUCAUAGAUGGAGUCGAUUAUUUUGCUAUGAUAAUUUGUGAGUUCAACAGACCUUCAGAUUGUGUCCUUUGGUGUUGCUUCCUUCAAGGCAAUAAUCUAAAGAUCCUAGUAUGAUUUAUUCUUUCUGUCCUGUCAUCCUCAGAAAGAGGGACAGGCUGUUAGAGAAUGAGCAUACAGUCGUGAUCCAUCACUUUUUAAUGAGACCAGGAGUGUGUUAUCAGGGUGGGCCUGUCUUCAGCUUUCCAAAAUCAGCUUGUUUGAUGAGUGCAUUUCCAUGUUGCACCAAUCUUUGGUUUCCCAGCACUAUUCCCUCCUGUCUGUCAUAUGCUAUUAACAUUUCUUCAUUUCUAAACCCCAAUCCCCCCCGCUCCCCCAAUUGCCCCACACCCACCCAUAGAGAAUCUCCAGGAGCUUGCAGUGAUAAAGAUAUGAUACUGAGCUGGAAUCAGAUAUACAGAAACGCUUGGUCCCAUCUGCAUUAUAAAAGGAUGAAAGGUUGACAAUCACAGUUCAUCACUCCCAGAAAUCCAAGGAAUGAUUGACAAUUUCACAGGCAAAGCAAAUUACAGUGAAGAUUUGUGCUCAGAAUUAGACCUUGGAUAUCGCUUUAGAUGACCUUGAGGAAACACGGGCACGAUGGUUGAAAAACGUUUUAGUCUGACUUUGUAAAUUCCAAAGCGUGAAGAAAAUGCAGUUUUUAACAGUAGUUUCUAGUCAGGAAAUAACGCUCGGUCAAAGGUGAAGUCAGUGUUACCUCUGUGUAAUUCCAUACAGCAGUGAAGGAUCACCUUUUUAAACAACUUGGAUACUGAUUAGGAACAUCUGAAAAGUUUUGUUAACAGGUGUAUUUAUAAAUUGUACAUGGAGGUCAAAGUGGAUUACAGAUGGUUACUGCACUGAGUUAUGAAGGAAAUGAAAGGAGUGAGAAGUGAUGACAAGAGAAGGAAGUACAGAUUUCUGAGCACCGACUGAGAAACAAGAUGGGAGUGGUUACAACGCAUGAAUGUGCAAUACAGACACCUGAAACUUCCACAAAGAAGCACAGACAGCUUUACACAUUAUAAGUGAGAUACUAUCUCCAUGAUAAUAUCUGCUUUAGAAGCCAGUGUUGUGGAAAAACUCACUUCAAAAAGAAAGCAUUUUAAAGACCACAUGUUAAUUUUAUACCAACCUUGCUGGACAGGUUUGUGCCAAAUUGUGUGAUUUUCACAGUCACUGCUUCUGACAUGGACAGUCGUAUAAUGGAGUGUACUUGACAAAGGAUAUUUAAUUCAAUAUAAUUUUUAUCCAACUCCUGCUAUAGUGCUUACAGGGUUGACUGCUUUAGGAACUGCUUAGAAUUGGGUUUCAUAUGAUUCUGUCCAAAUCACCUUGGCCUUGAAGCAGAUGGUUUGCAAACUGUAUGCUUGUAUUCAUAAUCUGUAAAAUCAGGAACAUGGAUUUGAAAUCAUGAGGACUAAAUCAUUUUUUUUUUGUAUGUUUAACCAUACAUUGAAAAGUGGUUAUUUCACUGUUAGUACAAUUAAAAUAUACAACAGCCAAAGAUAAAAUUUGAAAAUGCUUUUAGUAUUUGAAAAUCAUCUCGCCGAGCUGUCUGCAUAAAGAUAUAAAAAAUAAAUUGCAUCCUGGGAGAGAAAUUACUCAUUGUUUGAUUAGCUAAUUAGGUUAUUAUAAAUACACAUUCUAAAUAUUUUA